rnacentral:rRNA from 1 species
UACGUAGGGUGCAAGCGUUAAUCGGAAUUACUGGGCGUAAAGCGUGCGCAGGCGGUGAUGUAAGACAGAUGUGAAAUCCCGGGCUCAACCUGGGAACUGCAUUUGUGACUGCAUCGCUGGAGUGCGGCAGAGGGGAUGGAAUUCCACGUGUAGCAGUGAAAUGCGUAGAGAUGUGGAGGAACACCGAUGGCGAAGGGCAGCCCCUGGGUCAAGAUUGACGCUCAUGCACGAAGCGUGGGAGCAACAGG